rnacentral:rRNA from 1 species
UUGCCGGUUCUCCAGUGGUUAUCCCCAUUGUGGAAGGCGACUAUGCCCCUGAAGAUCAAGAUUUUCGUUUGGCAGCUUCUCAGAUAUAGUUUACCUUCGGGAACCGAGGUGCUGAAACGCCAUGGUCCGGGCAAUGGCCUUUGCCCCCUCUGCCACGUGCCGGAAACGGGAACGCAUAUUUUGUUCUCAUGCGUAGAAGCGCAGGCACAUUGGUGCUUUGUUCGUGAGGCUCUGGGACCGGAGUGGGAGGCCCAUGACCUUGCAGAGUUUCUGUAG